UACGUAGGGUGCAAGCGUUAAUCGGAAUUAUUGGGCGUAAAGAGCUCGUAGGCGGUGUGUCGCGUCGGCCGUGAAAACCUGCAGCUUAACUGUGGGCUUGCGGUCGAUACGGGCAUCACUGGAGUUCGGCAGGGGAGACUGGAGUUCCUGGUGUAGCGGUGAAAUGCGCAGAUAUCAGGAGGAACACCGGUGGCGAAGGCGGGUCUCUGGGCCGAUACUGACGCUGAGGAGCGAAAGCGUGGGGAGCGAACAGG
rnacentral:rRNA from 1 species